rnacentral:misc_RNA from 1 species
GUUGAACCUGUAAAUGAACUAAAUUAAAUCAAAUUGAUUAAUUUGCUUCAAUUUCGGGUUCAUAAUCGUUUUCGGGCUUUUGGCAAAAUCACGUUAACCAUGGCAGAGUGAUGCCUUUCCCUGUGAUUUAACCCUCAAAAGUUAAAAACUGGUAUUACAACCACACACGCUCACAGGGAAUUUCAGCUUCCUCUUGGACUUUUUCUCUCUCAAAUUUUCUCCCUUGUUCCUUUCUGCCAGAGAUGAGUGAGUGUUUCAGACUCAACUAGGCCUCCUUUGGUUUUUUCUUAAAGCUGGCAUUAUUGCUUUCAACAGGGUGGAAUUUUUUUUUUUUAAUGAAUGUGUCUUAAUGGACUCUAAUGGCUGCUACUCUCUCUAAAUCUCAGUACAUUGGGUUCGUGUAUUUAACUCAAGUAGAUAGGUAGAAAGAUGCUGGAUCAGUUCAAAAAGAUUCAGAAUCUCAAGAGUAAGAUGUUUGUCAAUGUUGUUGAAAUUUCAAAAUUAAUUUUAAAUAGGAUUUGAUCGAGGGAAUUGCUAAUGCCAGGAAAUGGUUUUAUCCCACAAUUAUUAAAGUGGAGUAAUGAUGACAUAGUGAGAAUUUAAUUUUCUCUUUUAGUAACUUUUGGAGAUCAACUUUUAACUUAGUAUAUAUAUUGCUUAUUUGUAAAAUUACCAAGGCGAUUUUGUCUUUCAUCAAUUUUUCAGGGUGACUCAGGGACUGCAAUACUAUGUGCAUGAUUGGUGUAAUUUAAAGCUUAGCAGGUUAGUUUCCCAUAUGUGCCUCACUGAUCAUAUUUAUCCAUGUCAACAGUAUAUUUUUCUUCUUAAAAAUAAUGAGUUGAAAUCCAAAUAUCCUGUGGGAUGGAGGAAAAAUAAUUAUAAUCAAUGGUGUGCUGUUAUCUGCUUCACAACUGAGUGUCCACUUCUCUUUUUAACAUCAAAACAAGACAAAAUAACAUCAAAAGGAUACAAAAGAAUCUACUAAUGAGGGAAAAAUUUUCUGAAUUGGUAUAUGGUGUUCCAUAGUAUAUGUAUAGUGCAAUGAUAGGAUUUGAAUCUAAGAUCCUUUCCUUUCCUGCUGGUAACAUUACUGUUGUGCUGUGACAACAUUCCCAUACUUCACAUGAAUUUAGGUUGAUGUUCACUUGGAAAAUGGAAUUUAUGCAGACAACUCUUGAAGUAGCAGCAUCAUGCCAAGGGGUGGAAACUACUUUGGCACAAUCAUUUGAGGACAAAUUUUUUAGAUUCCUUGCUAGUUGGUAAGAGCAUACACAAAAUCAAAUUAUAUGGGAGUCUCUUAUCUUGAUUGCUUCUCCUGGACAGCAUCCUUUGAGGACUUCACUACAGUCAGACCAUCAUUUGUUCAUUUUCAUUCUUCUCAUUAGAUUAGUGAAAAAUAUCACUUUUUCCAAUUGCAAAAUUCUCCUAGGAAGCUAGUCAUCUUCUUGCUGUAGUUUUGCCUUUGUGUCUGUAGUUCCUCCUCCUUGUCUCAUAUUUUGGUGUGAUCUCCGCUCUGCUUUUCUCUACGUUGUCCAUUCUUCUGACCAUGGUUUUUUCUUUCAAUAAAAAUUUGACAUUUUGAUUCAAACUUCUAUAUCAUAUACAAUUUUUCUUUCAAGAAAAAUUUGCUGUUUAUUCUCCCCAGUUGAAACUCUAAUUUUUGACAUUUUGGAAUCUUGAACUUCCAUUAUCAAGAUUCCAACCAUUUAGCUAUGUUGUGACUUCCUGAAUUUUGUCAUGAAUCAGUCAUUUAUCCAAAGAAAUCUUAUAUGAUAUCAAAAUUUUUCAAAUUCCAUGAUAAUUGUAUUGCAUAUAAUCAAUAACAAUAUGUUUCUAAAGCCUUCUUCUUUCUUUUUAAUCCCAAAUAUUUCAUGCUUUAAUGGGCAAGUUCUUUAUGUUCUACCACAUUUGCAGGUUGGGGAAAGGCUUUAAUUGAAUUCUAACCUUCCCCUUUAGGAAAUAUGAAAUUUGGUUCAAAGAAAGGAUGGAAAUCCAUUGUGCCCCUUCGUUUGAAAGGCAAAUCAGCCACCCGCUUCUGUUUGUUUCCCAAACCACGGUCAACUAGCUACGGUCCAGGAAGUGCGCCAGUUUAUCUCAAUGUGUAUGACUUGACACCCAUGAAUGGCUAUGUCUAUUGGGCAGGCCUUGGUAUCUUUCACUCUGGCGUGGAAGUUCAUGGUGUCGAAUAUGCAUUUGGUGCUCAUGACUACCCAACAAGUGGUGUUUUUGAGGUGGAACCUCAGCAAUGUCCAGGCUUCAAGUUCAGGAAAUCAAUAUUGAUUGGGACCACAUGCUUGGAUCCUGUUCAGGUCAGGGAGUUCAUGGAGCAGCAUGCUGCAAGCUACCAUGGUGAUACAUAUCACUUGAUUGUUAAAAAUUGCAAUCAUUUCUGCAAAGACAUCUGUUACAAGUUAACCGGGAAACCAAUUCCAAAAUGGGUAAAUCGACUAGCAAAAAUAGGUACUUAUCAUGUAACCCAUUAUCCAAGUUCUGACAAUAAUAUUUUUUAAAUAUUGUUUGCACAAUAGUAAGUUUUCUUGCUAUAAAAAUUUGGAUUUAUCUCCUGAUUGCUUCUUUGGAUUUUCAUUAUUACAUGGGACUGCCGCAACAUCCCUAGUUCGCAACUUAUGGACAUUCUCAUUGUAGAGCAUUCCUUUUUGUGGUCUCCAAUGAACUAAAGUAUCCAAAUUUAAUGCAACUUGAAUCUUGUACAAAUUUCAAUUUCAAAGUAUUUUUUUACCCUUUUAAAACAAUUUGUUAUCUUGCUGAUAUAUAAACUAGUUCUACUAGAAGUUGAAAUAGCUCAUAUAUGAAUCCAUGUUUACUUGAUUUCACCUUUUAAAAGUUCAUGAUAUUGUGUUGUUUAUUUUUUUUCCCGAUAUCUUUAAUUGGCUUGUGAUAGGUUCAGUUUGCAACUGUAUACUUCCUGAAUCUCUGAAGAUAUCUGCUGUUCGGCAUGAUCCUGAUGGCCAAUCUUAUGAUAGUGAGAGGAGAAGGUUGAGAAGUGCUUUCAGCUGCCUGUCUUCAAUCUCAAUGCGACAAAAGCAGCUAUCAACUUCUUCAAUGUUUCUACAAUCACCCUUGAAAGGCUGCCUCCCAUGGGAGCUGAAAAGGUCUAUCAAUGGUUCCUUAAAGGAAAGAUGAAAGAAUUCAUGGAGAGUAUUUUUUAGCAUGAGCUGAUGGGGGCAGUGGCUGAAAUCAAUGGUUUUUGUGUUUCAUGAUUGUGUUACUAUCUGGUGUGAAAAUGAUUAAGAUGCUAACCUAAUUCUUCCUAUCCUGAGAAGAAGCUUGCCAGAUCAACCCAGCGCCCUCAUUUGAGUGUUAAAAGCUGUGUUCGAUCCUAUUUUAUUAAUAUUUUUAUUUUUAAUGCUGAUUACCAUCCCCCAGUCAUUUUUGUGUCUAUAGAAGUUAUGGUCUGUGGAUCCAUCCGUUGGCUCAUUCAAGCUGUAGUGACUGCUCAUUUUAUUUGUACAUAAAACUGCACUCUGAUGCUUGUUAAAAGAGAGAAUUGUUAAGAGUGGGAGUCCAAUUUCAUUUUUAUACUAGGCCUGGUUCAAAAAUGCCAGUAUAGCUCUACUACCACGAGGACCACAAAAAACAAUGGCAUCAAGAAAACUGAUUAUGCACAUGAUUCUCUAUGAUUUUU